rnacentral:rRNA from 1 species
AACGAACGCUGGCGGCAUGCCUAACACAUGCAAGUCGAACGAGACCUUCGGGUCUAGUGGCGCACGGGUGCGUAACACGUGGGAAUUUGCCUCGGGGUAUGGAAUAACUCAGGGAAACUUGAGCUAAUACCAUAUAAUGUCUUCGGACCAAAGAUUUAUCGCCCUGAGAUAAGCCCGCGUAGGAUUAGCUAGUUGGUGAGGUAAAGGCUCACCAAGGCGACGAUCCUUAGCUGGUCUGAGAGGAUGAUCAGCCACACUGGGACUGAGACACGGCCCAGACUCCUACGGGAGGCAGCAGUGGGGAAUAUUGGACAAAUGGGCGAAAGCCUGAUCCAGCAAUGCCGCGUGAGUGAUGAAGGCCUUCGGUUGG